UACAGAGGUCCCGAGCGUUGUUCGGAUUCAUUGGGCGUAAAGGGUGCGUAGGCGGCGGGGCAAGUCUGAUGUGAAAUCCUGGGGCUCAACCCUGGAACUGCAUUGGAUACUGCCUGCUUAGAGACUGGAGAGGAGACUGGAAUUUACGGUGUAGCGUGAAAUGCGUAGAGUAUCGUAAGGAAGACCAGUGGCGAAGGCGGUAGUCUCGGACAGUUCCUGACGCUGAGGCACGAAGGUCAGGGGAGCAAACGGG
rnacentral:rRNA from 1 species